rnacentral:lncRNA from 1 species
AUGAUCUCCGCCGUGUCCAGCCCGUGGCUCACGCAGCUCUCGCACUUCUGCGACGUUGCAGCCUUCACGGCCAGCAGCCUGAGCGGCCUGGGGGCGGCAGGGGGCUUCCCGGGCGCCGCGUCGCCCGGCGCCGACCCGUUCGGCGCGCGCGAGCCCCCGCCGCCGCGCUACGAGCCGUGCUCCGCCGCCGCGCCGGGCGCCCCGGGCCCGCCGCACGCCUACCCGUUCGCGCCGGCCGCCGGGGCUGCCAGCAGCGCCGCGGAGCCCGAGGGCCCCGGGUCCAGCUGCGUGGCCGCCGCCAAGGCGCCGGUGAAGAAGAACGCGAAGGUGGCCAGCGUGAGCGUGCAGCUGGAGAUGAAGGCGCUGUGGGACGAGUUCAACCAGCUGGGCACCGAGAUGAUCGUCACCAAGGCCGGCAGGCGCAUGUUUCCCACCUUCCAAGUGAAGCUGUUCGGCAUGGACCCCAUGGCUGACUACAUGCUGCUCAUGGACUUUGUGCCUGUGGACGACAAGCGAUACCGGUACGCCUUCCACAGCUCGUCCUGGCUGGUGGCCGGGAAGGCAGACCCCGCCACGCCGGGCCGUGUCCACUACCACCCCGACUCGCCGGCCAAGGGGGCCCAGUGGAUGAAGCAGAUCGUCUCCUUCGACAAGCUCAAGCUGACCAACAACCUGCUGGACGACAACGGUCAUAUCAUUCUCAACUCCAUGCACAGAUACCAGCCGCGCUUCCACGUGGUCUACGUGGACCCACGCAAAGACAGCGAGAAGUACGCGGAGGAGAACUUCAAAACCUUCGUGUUUGAGGAGACACGCUUCACCGCGGUCACUGCCUACCAGAACCACCGGAUCACGCAGCUCAAGAUCGCCAGUAAUCCCUUCGCCAAAGGCUUCCGAGACUGCGACCCCGAGGACUGGCCCCGGAACCACCGGCCCGGCGCGCUGCCGCUCAUGAGCGCGUUCGCUCGCUCGCGCAACCCCGUGGCCUCCCCCACGCAGCCCAACGGCGCGGAGAAAGACACGGCCGAGGCCCGGCGAGAGUUCGAGCGCGACGCGGGCGGCCCGGCGGGGCUCGGGGACCCGGCGCACCCGCCGCAGCUGCUGGCGCGGGUGCUCAGCCCCGCGCUGCCCGGGCCCGGGGUCCCGCUGCCCGGCGCGCCCGGAGGCCGGCCCAGCCCCCCGCACCCCGAGCUGCGCCUGGAGGCGCCCGGCGCGUCGGAGCCACUGCACCACCACCCCUACAAGUACCCGGCCGCCGCCUACGACCACUACCUCGGGGCCAAGAGCCGGCCGGCGCCCUACCCGCUGCCCGGCCUGCGUGGCCACGGCUUCCACGCGCACCCGCACGCGCACCCGCACCACCACCCGGCUGUGAGCCCCGCCGCGGCCGCCGCCGCCGCCGCCGCCGCGGCCGCCGCCGCCGCCAGCAUGUAUUCGUCGGCCGGGGCCGCGCCGCCGGGCGCCUACGACUACUGCCCCAGAUAG